rnacentral:rRNA from 1 species
GAUGAACGCUGGCGGCGUGCCUAAUACAUGCAAGUCGAGCGAACAGAUGAGGAGCUUGCUCCUCUGACGUUAGCGGCGGACGGGUGAGUAACACGUGGAUAACCUACCUAUAAGACUGGGAUAACUUCGGGAAACCGGAGCUAAUACCGGAUAAUAUAUUGAACCGCAUGGUUCAAUAGUGGAAGACGGUUUUGCUGUCACUUAUAGAUGGAUCCGCGCCGCAUUAGCUAGUUGGUAAGGUAACGGCUUACCAAGGCAACGAUGCGUAGCCGACCUGAGAGGGUGAUCGGCCACACUGGAACUGAGACACGGUCCAGACUCCUACGGGAGGCAGCAGUAGGGAAUCUUCCGCAAUGGGCGAAAGCCUGACGGAGCAACGCCGCGUGAGUGAUGAAGGUCUUCGGAUCGUAAAACUCUGUUAUUAGGGAAGAACAAAUGUGUAAGUAACUAUGCACGUCUUGACGGUACCUAAGCAGAAAGCCACGGCUAACUACGU